AGGCUUCGAGUGGAUGACCUGUAGAGGUCAGAUAACCUGUGUGACUAUUCGAUAUCAAAAAGAGUCUUGUACCAUAUAUAUCAGUAGUAGAGAUCAUCAACUUGCACAAAGAUAAUGAGUUCUGAACUCAAUCGAUGAGAUCUAAUAGUUAGAUCUGAUUCAAGAUAUCGAUGUGAUCGAUGUAGUUUUUAUUUACAUCAGAUUUUGUAUGUAAAAUUUUUAUGUCAUAGAUCCUU
rnacentral:lncRNA from 1 species